rnacentral:rRNA from 1 species
GACCUAGCGGCGGACGGGUGAGUAAUGCUUAGGAAUCUGCCUAUUAGUGGGGGACAACAUUCCGAAAGGAAUGCUAAUACCGCAUACGCCCUACGGGGGAAAGCAGGGGAUCUUCGGACCUUGCGCUAAUAGAUGAGCCUAAGUCAGAUUAGCUAGUUGGUGGGGUAAAGGCCUACCAAGGCGACGAUCUGUAGCGGGUCUGAGAGGAUGAUCCGCCACACUGGGACUGAGACACGGCCCAGACUCCUACGGGAGGCAGCAGUGGGGAAUAUUGGACAAUGGGCGAAAGCCUGAUCCAGCCAUGCCGCGUGUGUGAAGAAGGCCUUUUGGUUGUAAAGCACUUUAAGCGAGGAGGAGGCUACUUGGAUUAAUACUCUAGGAUAGUGGACGUUACUCGCAGAAUAAGCACCGGCUAACUCUGUGCCAGCAGCCGCGGUAAUACAGAGGGUGCGAGCGUUAAUCGGAUUUACUGGGCGUAAAGCGUGCGUAGGCGGCUUCUUAAGUCGGAUGUGAAAUCCCUGAGCUUAACUUAGGAAUUGCAUUCGAUACUGGGAAGCUAGAGUAUGGGAGAGGAUGGUAGAAUUCCAGGUGUAGCGGUGAAAUGCGUAGAGAUCUGGAGGAAUACCGAUGGCGAAGGCAGCCAUCUGGCCUAAUACUGACGCUGAGGUACGAAAGCAUGGGGAGCAAACAGGAUUAGAUACCCUGGUAGUCCAUGCCGUAAACGAUGUCUACUAGCCGUUGGGGCCUUUGAGGCUUUAGUGGCGCAGCUAACGCGAUAAGUAGACCGCCUGGGGAGUACGGUCGCAAGACUAAAACUC